AUUGAACGCUGGCGGCAGGCCUAACACAUGCAAGUCGAACGAGUGGCGGACGGGUGAGUAAUGUCUGGGAACUGCCCGAAGGAGGGGGAAAACUAUGGGAAAGGGUAGUAAAACCCGAAAACAAUGGGAAGAGCCAAGAUGGGAUUAGCGAGUUGGGGGGGUAACGGCCCACCUAGGCGACGAUCCCUAGCGGGUCUGAGAGGAUGACCAGCCACACUGGAACUGAGACACGGUCCAGACUCCUACGGGAGGCAGCAGUGGGGAAUAUUGCACAAUGGGCGCAAGCCUGAUGCAGCCAUGCCGCGUGUAUGAAGAAGGCCUUCGGGUUGUAAAGUACUUUCAGCGAGGAGGCGUUACCCGCAGAAUAAGCACCGGCUAACUCCGUGCCAGCAGCCGCGGUAAUAC
rnacentral:rRNA from 1 species